rnacentral:rRNA from 1 species
AUUGAACGCUGGCGGCAUGCCUUACACAUGCAAGUCGAACGGCAGCAUGGAGAGCUUGCUCUCUGAUGGCGAGUGGCGAACGGGUGAGUAAUGCAUCGGAACGUACCGUGUAAUGGGGGAUAACGUAGCGAAAGUUACGCUAAUACCGCAUACGACCUGAGGGUGAAAGCAGGGGAUCGCAAGAGCUUGCGUUAUACGAGCGGCCGAUGUCAGAUUAGCUAGUUGGUGAGGUAAAGGCUCAACACGGCGAAGAUCUGUAGCGGGACUGGGAGGAUGAGCCGCCACACGGGGACUGAGCCACGGCCCAGACUCCUACGGGAGGCAGCAGUGGGGAAUGUUGGACAAUGGUGGCAACCCUGAUCCAGCCAUGCCGCGUGAGUGAAGAAGGCCUUCGGGUUGUAAAGCUCUUUCGGCCGGGAAGAAAUCGCACAGGCUAAUACUCUGUGUGGAUGACGGUACCGGCAUAAGAAGCACCGGCUAACUACGUGCCAGCCGCCGCGGUAA